rnacentral:lncRNA from 1 species
GAGUGGAAUCAAGGUCAGCUCAGCCCAGGAUGUGAAGGUUAAGGGAUGAGGGGACACUCACAUGCGCACAUACUCAUUGGAUGUGUUUAUAGAGUUCUAGGCAACUGUAAACUCGACUCUGCUCCUGUGCUCCCAGGAGAGGCUGAACCAUAAACACCUCUCCGGCCUGGAAGAGGUGACUGGCUUAGUGGUUCCCUCCACGCCCAUCACCUCCCAGGACUUGGAUACUCAGCACAGGAGGGAACCAGCUCUGCACGCCUGCUUCUCAUUGGCCUUCUUAAUGAAUGCCAGAGCAGCCAAUGGGAAGCUUGGAAAAUCCACAGGCUGCAGCAGCUGUAUGUCCCAGGGAAGAAGGGCUGCCCUGUCCCAGGAACCCUUAUUAAAAACAGCCUCCUGCCCCUGGGCUCCACACAUGCUGAGAGAUUUCAAGAAAGGAAAGGAAUCCCCGCUUCCAGGAGCCACCCUCUAAGGAAAAGGACCUUGGGCCCCUUCCUGCCUGGACAAGGCUCUCUGACUCACCGAAGGGGAGGCUGUACGCUGGGUUGUUUUACAGAAGUUUGUUUAUCACCUGUUCAAGACCCCAUCAUGAAACUUUAUAGACCUGGCUGGGAAAUAUGGUGAUGUCUAGUCCUGAGUCAUUGGACUUGACAGUGGCAUGAAGAAAAUUAGAUCUAAAACACAAAACAAAACAAAACGCAU